rnacentral:rRNA from 1 species
AGCGAACGCUGGCGGCAGGCUUAACACAUGCAAGUCGAACGGUCCUUCGGGAUAGUGGCGGACGGGUGAGUAACACGUGGGAACGUACCCUUAGGUUCGGAACAACACAGGGAAACUUGUGCUAAUACCGGAUAAGCCCUUCGGGGGAAAGAUUUAUCGCCUUUGGAGCGGCCUGCGUCUGAUUAGCUUGUUGGUGAGGUAAUGGCCCACCAAGGCUAUGAUCAGUAGCUGGUCUGAGAGGAUGGCCAGCCACACUGGGACUGAGACACGGCCCAGACUCCUACGGGAGGCAGCAGUGGGGAAUCUUGCGCAAUGGGCGAAAGCCUGACGCAGCCAUGCCGCGUGGAUGAUGAAGGUCUUAGGAUUGUAAAAUCCUUUCACCGGGGACGAUAAUGACGGUACCCGGAGAAGAAGCCCCGGCUAACUUCGUGCCAGCCGCCGCCGUAA